UACGGAGGAUGCAAGCGUUAUCCGGAAUGAUUGGGCGUAAAGCGUCCGCAGGUGGCAAUGUAAGUCUGCUGUCAAAGCGUCUGGCUCAACCAGAUAAAGGCAGUGGAAACUACAUAGCUAGAGUAAGGUAGGGGUAGAGGGAAUUCCUGGUGUAGCGGUGAAAUGCGUAGAGAUCAGGAAGAACACCGGUGGCGAAAGCGUUCUGCUAGACCUGUACUGACACUGAGGGACGAAAGCUAGGGGAGCGAACAGG
rnacentral:rRNA from 1 species